CCCCAGACUCCUACGGGAGGCAGCAGUGGGGAAUAUUGCACAAUGGGGGAAACCCUGAUGCAGCGACGCCGCGUGAGCGAUGAAGUAUUUCGGUAUGUAAAGCUCUAUCAGCAGGGAAGAAGAUGACGGUACCUGACUAAGAAGCCCCGGCUAACUACGUGCCAGCAGCCGCGGUAAUACGUGGGGGGCAAGCGUUAUCCGGAUUUACUGGGUGUAAAGGGAGCGUAGACGGCGAUGCAAGCCAGAUGUGAAAGCCCGGGGCUCAACCCCGGGACUGCAUUUGGAACUGUGUGGCUGGAGUGUCGGAGAGGCAGGCGGAAUUCCUAGUGUAGCGGUGAAAUGCGUAGAUAUUAGGAGGAACACCAGUGGCGAAGGCGGCCUGCUGGACGAUGACUGACGUUGAGGCUCGAAAGCGUGGGGAGCAAACAGGAUUAGAUACCCCCGUA
rnacentral:rRNA from 1 species